rnacentral:rRNA from 1 species
AUUUCUUGGAAAGCUCUCGCAUCGCCAAAAGUUCAGGGGGGAAUGGGUUUUCGUGACAUGGGGUUGUUCAACCUAGCACUCCUUAGGAAGCAUGGGUGGAGGCUUAUGGUUAUCCCAGAUUCAUUAUGCGCCCGGGUGUUGAAGGGUCGACACUUUCCAGAUUCAGAUUUUUUGCACGCUACAGUGCCGAAGUCAGCCUCUCCAGUUUGGCGGGCAAUUGUGGCGGGACGCGAGGCUCUUCAGGCGGGUCUGCUCAUGCGUGUUGGUAAUGGAAGAUCUAUCUCUAUUUGGGAGGAUAAGUGGAUUCCA